UACGGAGGGUGCAAGCGUUGUUCGGAAUCACUGGGCGUAAAGCGCGUGUAGGCGGCCUUCUCAGUCUGGUGUGAAAGCCCGGGGCUCACCCCCGGAAGUGCAUUGGAUACUGGGAGGCUGGAGUACCGGAGAGGAGGGUGGAAUUCCUGGUGUAGCGGUGAAAUGCGUAGAUAUCAGGAGGAACACCGGUGGCGAAGGCGGGCUACUGGGCCGAUACUGACGCUGAUGCGCGAAAGCCAGGGGAGCGAACGGG
rnacentral:rRNA from 1 species